UCUAAUAUGGCAGAUAAGUGUGAUGGAUUUAAGUCCCAUAUAUAAAGUAACAAAAACUUUUAUUAGAA
rnacentral:tRNA from 1 species